CCUGAAGCGUCAGAGGUGAACGGAUGAAAGUCUCUCUUCUCUCGUCUGUGGAUUUUCAUCUGGAGAAUGUCUGUGGGAAUUAUGUCUGGACAGAAGCUGAAUGUGCUGCGGCUGAUCAUGAUGAUCCUCUGCUGUCUCACUGGACGGAUAAUCACCCGUAACACUGUCCCAGACAAAAUCCAAGUUAAUUUGACAAGUCAGUGUUUGUGGAACUCAACAAGUCUAGCUGUCAAUCUGAAAAACAUACCAAACAAGAAUAUCACACUAAAUAUCUUCUUGUCCUACUGUAACAAAUCAAAAUUGUUUUUCCAAAACAUUCAGUUUCAACCUAUCACAAGAUGACAACAACAAAUAUAAAAUUGGAAUGAAUGAGAUAGCUGAAGAUAUAAAUGUGCGUCUUUUCCCAGCUUCAUGUCCAUGUGUACUAAGUCCAAAUUCAGAAUCCAAAUCAGAUUACAUAUUGACUUGCCUAAACGAUAUCUUGAGCACAUGUAAAGUGACAUCAAAUGCCCCAGAUUGUUGGAAAUCUGUUGAUCCUCGAGAGUUAUGUACAAAAGCUCCAUAUGCAAAAUCUUCCUGUGAAAAACAAAGCAGAUACAAUUUGAGUUUUAGAGAUGACCGUGAUAAAAAAUGGAAGUGUGUGGACUGUGGCAAUAAACCAACCGUUGAUUGUAGUAAUAAAACUGCCUGUGCGAAACCACCUGAAUCAAAUGUAACUUUACCUCCAAUUGACAAGAAUGGACAAGUGGAACCUUCACAUGCAUCAGCAACCUUAGACAAUCUGACGUCACAGGUGGAAUGGAUGAAAAAAAAUAAUAAAACCAGUGUGGGAAUUUUCAUGGGUGAUGCUAUCGGUGUUAUCCAAAUACAAGAUGAGAACAGUGAGACUACAGAUUCCUGCUUCUCUUCAGAUCAGAAAUUGAUGAAAAUUGUUGACUGUCUAAGUAACAUGAGCACAGACUUUCCCUGGUCUAUAAUGAUUCCCAGUGAGGCUUUUGAUAAUGCACGUCUGGAAAACAAUGGAAGUACAUUUGUUGGAAUUUUACAGUUUAAAAAUAUGGGG